rnacentral:rRNA from 1 species
GCGUACGAUGUCGACUUGGAGGUUGUGCCCUUGAGGCGUGGCUUCCGGAGCUAACGCGUUAAGUCGACCGCCUGGGGAGUACGGCCGCAAGGUUAAAACUCAAAUGAAUUGACGGGGGCCCGCACAAGCGGUGGAGCAUGUGGUUUAAUUCGAUGCAACGCGAAGAACCUUACCUACUCUUGACAUCCAGAGAACUUUCCAGAGAUGGUUUGGUGCCUUCGGGAACUCUGAGACAGGUGCUGCAUGGCUGUCGUCAGCUCGUGUUGUGAAAUGUUGGGUUAAGUCCCGCAACGAGCGCAACCCUUAUCCUUUGUUGCCAGCGGUUAGGCCGGGAACUCAAAGGAGACUGCCAGUGAUAAACUGGAGGAAGGUGGGGAUGACGUCAAGUCAUCAUGGCCCUUACGAGUAGGGCUACACACGUGCUACAAUGGCGCAUACAAAGAGAAGCGACCUCGCGAGAGCAAGCGGACCUCAUAAAGUGCGUCGUAGUCCGGAUUGGAGUCUGCAACUCGACUCCAUGAAGUCGGAAUCGCUAGUAAUCGUGGAUCAGAAUGCCACGGUGAAUACGUUCCCGGGCCUUGUACACACCGCCCGUCACACCAUGGGAGUGGGUUGCAAAAGAAGUAGGUAGCUUAACCUUCGGGAGGGCGCUUACCACUUUGUGAUUCAUGACUGGGGUGAAGUCGUACAAGGGGAAACCGGAAGAGUUUGAUCCUGG